AAUUCUCUCGAGAGGAGUCUCUCUCUCUCUCGGAUGGUGGACGUUGUUGGUUUUACUGACUCGUCUUGAAAUAUAUUAGCUGACCUUCUCGGUUUGGCAAACGGUGUGAUAAAUGAAUACAUUGUUUGUCUAAUACCUAUAGAGGUUGCUUCUAAUCCCCCCACUACUAUUUUAUU
rnacentral:misc_RNA from 1 species